UGUGUCAUUUAUUCCUCGGAUAGUGAUAUUUGUUCCUUUUCGAGCUCAUACUGACACAAAAGCAAUGGCAGAUUUGCAACUAGUUGCGUUCUACUUGAUCGUGGCUAUACUUUCUUCUGACCACAUU
ensembl:snoRNA E01A2.9 ncRNA